AGAAUCAACGCUGGCAGCGUGCCUAACACAUGCAAGUCGAACGAGAAAGUGGAGCAAUCCAUGAGUAAAGUGGCGCACGGGUGAGUAACACGUGACUAACCUACCCUUGAGUGGGGGAUAACCUAGAGAAAUCUGGGCUAAUACCGCAUAAUACCUUCGGGUCAAAGGAGCAAUUCGCUUAAGGAGGGGGUCGCGGCCGAUUAGUUAGUUGGCGGGGUAAUGGCCCACCAAGACUGUGAUCGGUA
rnacentral:rRNA from 1 species